rnacentral:misc_RNA from 1 species
CUUUUCUUUUUCUCUUUUCUUUUUCUUUUUAUUUAUUUUUUAUUUUUUUUAUGGAGUGGAGCUGGGACCACUCUUUUAUCCUUCCAUCAUGUUUUGUAAGUUGUGCCAUGUCUCCUCGUCGUCACUUGUUUCGUCAUCUGACGAGACAGAAGAUAAGUCGUAGUGACUUUCAUAUUGAACCAUGUAAUUUUCAUACCGUGUUUCAAUAUGAAAGGGUUUUGGGCUUGGCAAAUGUUCAUAGUGAACAUAUAUCCGAGAAUAUGUACCUGUAUGGACU